UGAUCCCGAGGUCAACCUUAAAAAUGGGGUUGUUUUACGGCGUAGCCUCCCGAGCACCCUUUAGCGAAUAGUUUCCACAACGCUUAGGGGACAGAAGACCCAGCCGGUCGAUUUGAGGCACGCGGCG
rnacentral:rRNA from 1 species